UACGUAGGUGGCGAGCGUUGUCCGGAUUUACUGGGCGUAAAGCGCGCGCAGGCGGCAGUCUAAGUCCUCUGUGAAAUCACCCGGCUCAACUGGGUGGCUGCGGAGGAGACUGGGCAGCUUGAGGGGCCUAGAGGCCGGUGGAACUCCCGGUGUAGUGGUGAAAUGCGUAGAGAUCGGGAAGAACACCAGUGGCGAAGGCGGCCAACUGGGCCGACCCUGACGCUGAGGCGCGAAGGCGUGGGGAGCGAACGGG
rnacentral:rRNA from 1 species